AAUGGAUGAAGGCAUCCACUUCAACAAGUAACCUUCUCUCAUUAGCUUCCUUUUGAGACCCAGAUCUCAGACUCUCUGGCCUCCCUCCUCUGAGAACCCAGACAUUUCCAUAGCAAAGCUGUGAUCAAGAUGCAGAUCUCAGAAUACCCGCUGCGGCUCAGUGGUCACGAAUCCAACUAGUAUCCAUGAGGAUGCAGGUUUGAUCCCUGGCCUCCUCAGUGGGUUAUGGAUCAUGCGUUACCAUGAGCUGUGGUGUAGGUCACAAACUUGGCUCAGACUCCGUAUUGCUGUGGCUGUGGUGUAGCUGGCAGCCAUAGCUCCGAUUCAACCACUCGCCUGGGAACUUCCUUAUGCCACAGUUGCAGCCCUAAAAAACUCCCCCCAGCCAAAACAAAAAAGAUAAAAAAAGAUGCAGAGCUCUUCCCUCAACUCUGACUAGAUCAUGAAGCUAUGUGACAAUCACCUAAAGUCCAAUUCAGCCAGCUCACAACAAAAUUCACUUCCCUCUCUCCUCUCUUCUUGUCUGGAAUCUGUACUUUCCUUCCCCCCAUUCCUUACAGCGGCACCAGCAUUCUCUCAGUAAAGCAUGAAAACUCAGUAUUUACCUUUGUUUUCACCUUCCUGAUCUCCUACCCUUUAUUACUUCAAUGUAUCAAAUAGCCUAAAUUUUUAGUAAAAUUCAUCAGCAAAAGAUAUGUUGAAGUCCUAAACCCUAGUAGCACAGAAUAUGACCUUAUUUGGAAACAAGUUCUAGGGAAAUCAUAUAGUUAAAAUGAGGUCAUCAGGCAACACCUUGAUUUUGGACUUUUAGCCUCUAGAACUGAGAUAAUAAAUCUCUACUGUUUUAAACCACCCAGAUUUUGAUCCUUUGUUACUGCAGCACUAGGAAACUAAUUUAACACUCCAAGCACUGGCUGGACUCAAACAGCUAUAACCCUCCACCUCCAAACCUGUGCCUUACCUCUAAAUAGCAUCCCACCCAGCUUCCCAUGUAGACUCUUAUGCAUCAUCCUUGCUAUUCCAUACCUAUCAAUUAUCGAGACCUAUUUCUUAAAUAUUGUCUAUCUCUUAAACAUAAGGUGUAAUGGAAUCACUUUGCGGUACACCUAAAACACAACAUUUUAAAUCAACUAUACUCAAAUUAAAAACAAAAAGAAAUUAAUGAACAAGAAGUGGAAUUUUUGAGUAGCCUGCUCUGACAUUCACUACUAAAGAAUCACUUGGUGCUCCAUAGAGAACAAAUUUGUUGGUGAGGGAGGCUGGUAUAAAAAGAAAUCAGCUAAGAGACUUCUACAGAGUCUAGGUGAGAGAGAAUGGUGGCUUGCAAUGGGGUAGAAGUAGUAUAAAUACUUGGAGUAUGAUAAUUAUGAUGGAUAUACACAUAUAGAUAUGCACAUGAUGAAAUAAGACAUUUUUAAUUUAUCAGCUUAAUAAAUUUUAACAGUAAUAUAAUAAAGCAAUAAUUUCAAAUGGGUAAUAUAAUUUUUACUUCUCUCCUACUCAUAAAGAAAAAUUCACAAAGAGGGCAGGGAAGGGUUGGGAAGAACACUCUACACAAGCCAAAUGGAGUUCCUUAAAGAAAAGAAAACAAUAUGCCACACUUUCGAAUUUAGUCUCAGGCUUCAAAGCAGGGCUUUCACACAGUGGCUCUGUAUUUACAAAAGUACCGCCCUCUUUACACCUGAUUUAAAGUUGCUGGAGGAAUUUUAUUCCUUUUUUUCCAGAGGGAUCGUCUUUAAUGCAUGUAUCCACUGAUGUAAUUCUGAAGUCUAAGUUGCUGGCUUAACAUGCAAAGUGGUAAAUGUGUUAUAAUGGUGACUUACGGUACAGCACCUAUGAAUUUCAUAUUCCUUUUAAACUUCAUUCUACAAAGCAAUUUCCACCUUCUGACUAAAGAAAUGAACAUUCAUAUUUUAUACUAUGUUCAUAUACAAAAUUUUCAUUUUAUUACAGUACUCCUGAUGCUAUCAGAUUGACUCAACAACUCACUAACAAUGAAAAAAAUGGUAACAUUACUAUUCUUAGAAUUGCUGUAUGUAAUUUUCCUUUUUAAUAAAAAUCAAGAAUUUUUUAUCUUUCCUUUUUAAAAUUGGAUGAAGUUCUUAUUCAAUUACUAUUAUUAAAAGUAAAACUGAGUUAUCUGAUUCAUUUGAAUUUUUUAAAAAAAUUUACCUUUUUAACUGAGAUAUAAUUGACAUAUAACAUUAUAUUAAUUUUAGGUAUACCAAAUUAUCCAACUUUAAUAUAUAUUUUUUAAUUUUUAUUUUUUAUUGAAGUAUAGUUAAUGAACAAGAUUAUAUAAGUUUCAGGUAAACAAUAUAGUAAUUCACAAUUUUUAAAGGUUAUAUUCCAUUUAUAGUUAUUAUAAAAUAUUGGCUAUAUUCCCUGCAUUGUACAAUAUA
rnacentral:lncRNA from 1 species